GAUGAACGCUGGCGGCGUGCCUAACACAUGCAAGUCGAGCGAUUCUCUUCGGAGAAGAGCGGCGGACGGGUGAGUAACGCGUGGGUAACCUGCCCUGUACACACGGAUAACAUACCGAAAGGUAUGCUAAUACGAGAUAAUAUACUUUUAUCGCAUGGUAGAAGUAUCAAAGCUUUUGCGGUACAGGAUGGACCCGCGUCUGAUUAGCUAGUUGGUAAGGUAACGGCUUACCAAGGCGACGAUCAGUAGCCGACCUGAGAGGGUGAUCGGCCACAUUGGAACUGAGACACGGUCCAAACUCCUACGGGAGGCAGCAGUGGGGAAUAUUGCACAAUGGGCGAAAGCCUGAUGCAGCAACGCCGCGUGAGCGAUGAAGGCCUUCGGUCGUAAGACUCUGUCCUCAAGGAAGAUAAUGACGGUACUUGAGGAGGAAGCCCCGGCUAACUACGUAGCCAGCAGCCGCGGUAA
rnacentral:rRNA from 1 species